rnacentral:rRNA from 2 species
CCAAUAGCGUAUAUUAAAGUUGUUGCAGUUAAAAAGCUCGUAGUUGAAUUUCGGAAUCAAUAUGUUGGUCGUGCCUUGGUACGUACUGGCAUUAUUGGUUUCUACCUUCUGAAGAACCUCGAUGUCAUUAAUUUGGUGUCUUGGGGAAUCAGGACUGUUACUUUGAAAAAAUUAGAGUGUUUAAAGCAAGCUCACGCUUGAAUACAUUAGCAUGGAAUAAUGAAAUAGGACGUUUGAUUCUAUUUUGUUGGUUUCUAGGAUCGACGUAAUGAUUAAUAGGGAUAGUUGGGGGCAUUAGUAUUCAAUUGUCAGAGGUGAAAUUCUUGGAUUUAUUGAAGACUAACUACUGCGAAAGCAUUUGCCAAGGAUGUUUUCAUUAAUCAAGAACGAAAGUUAGGGGAUCGAAGACGAUCAGAUACCGUCGUAGUCUUAACCAUAAACUAUGCCGACUAGGGAUCGGAUGAUGUUAAUUUUUUAAUGACUCAUUCGGCGCCUUACG